UGGCUGUGAGAAGACCCUAAGACGGGAAGCUGUGUGCAGGGCACUUGAGGGCCCGCUGGGGAGAAGCCGCCUGUGAGGGACAGGACCGGGCAGGGAAGGCCACCAGCCAUGCGGUCACAGCCCAGGACUCCGCCAGUCCUGCAGGAGCCCUGGAGCCAGGCCCUUGCUGUCCAGGCCACUUGCUGUACCUGGCCCACAGCUACCUCCCCUGCAGCCCUGAGUCCUGCUUGCUGUGCCCGGCUCAGGCUGAGACUGCAGUGCUUGUCCAUUCACCAUGAAAGAAAGAAGAACAGGAAGGGAGGCAGGAGGAAAUUGAAAGAACACCCAACCAAGAGGAGAGAAAACAGCAUUCUAAAUAUCGGAAGGAAACGAAACCUCGCCUCAGGCAUGCGGGCUCUGACGGGCAGGAUGGCGGCACGGAGGGCUGCUGUAUCCAGUGAAGGCAGCAGUUCAGAUGAGACAGAUAACUCCCUUAAAAGACACAAAUUACCAAGACUGACGCAAAC
rnacentral:sRNA from 1 species